CUCCACCCUUGCUUGUUCCUAUCCACAUCUCAUACUCUCAUACACCCUCUUUAUUUGUAUCUUCCGUUCUCUGGGAAGAGUAACUAGAAUGUCAAACAUACUAAAUUGUGUUCGAAUUAAGUAUAUAGUCUUUGGUGAAUAAACUGGAGAGGGGUACUGUCUCAUAUUUUCAGCAGGAAGGUGUAAGAAUGUCUACACUGACUACCCAAAGACCACUUUUAUCUGCUUUUCUGUUUUGGCUGAAUUUUGGAUAGACGAGGUUUCAGAUCACAGCCUACGGGUAAGUGAAGUGUCACUGUAAGCCCAUGGGAUGGAUGGAGAAACCAAGCCUCAGCAAGCUGAGCCGCAGAGCUAUGACUAGAGCCCUCUCUCCCGAGUCUUACCAUCCCUUUCUGGCUUCAGGCCUUGGUUCAUGCUGUUUUCACUCUCCGGGCUGCCCCAUCUGCCCAUCUUGCCAUCUCCAUGGCUACAUGGACAUGUGAAGUCUCAGGUCUCUCUCCUCUUCCAGCUCUGCCCUCCUUAAGAGCCUGUGAAAGACUUGCACACCUUCCCCACUCUCCAUUUUUCUCCUGCCUCCCAGACCACCUUAAAUCACUGAGGACUUAGAACCUACAAAGUCAGCCUCACCCAGUCCCUGAGCCAGUCCCAUCCAAGGCCAGCAGACCCAGAAUUGCCAUAGGGUGGGUGUUUCUUGUCCUACGCUCAGUACUGAGAAGAUCUAAAGACCCACUGACCUAAAGCCUCCCCCUAUUCCCACUGAUGACAUGGUCCAUGAAACUGAGCAUCUGCUGUGGCUUCUGGACUGUUUCUGUAGUUCCCUCGCAGAGACAGUGACCAUGACCUGAAUUGCAGCCUGCUCAUUAGGAAAUCUCCAUCCUUUUCCCCUUGAAGGAAAGGGAAAGGAGUUGGCUUUUCCUGGUCCCCAAAUAUGUGCCUGACAAAUAUGUCCCUGACAUGCUGGGUAAUCUGUGUGUGGAUUGUCUUAUUAUAUAUUAUUUUUACUACUUCAUAGAUGAGAAACGUGAGGCUUAGAGAAGUCAAAUUGCUUGUCGGACGUCAUAGAACUGGUGUGAUGGAGCUGCCUGUCUGAAAAGAAGCUUUUCCUGUCUACACAGAUUUGACUCCCAAACCUAUUCAAGAUGAAAUGACUACCUUCAAGAUACAAAACACAGUCUCAGCUCGAAAACGAGAACGCCCAGCCUAAUGUUCAUCGGUACUUGAACCAUCACUCAAAGCUAACUUCUUCACCAUCUCCUGGCCAAGGCUGCCCGCAGAAGCUUGCAUCCCUAGAUUAAAGGACUUCACUUGAAAGAGUCGUGACCACCAGUUGCUGCACUGAUUUCAUAAUGGCCUUUAGGAUUCCAGAGUGGCUCAAGGGUCACAAGGAUUUAUGAGCUUAUAUUACAGAAGAAAAAGUAUGCCUUCAAAGAUGACCAGAUAACCAGCUCCGAGAUGCCAUUGAUGCCCAGAAGUCAGAUUGCCCAGGGGCUUAUCAGGAGUGAAAGAAACAUGGAUUUCCCCUUUGCAUCUCUGAAACUCCUCCUGCAAAGCCCUUUAGCUCUACAAACACCCCUGCUUUCUUCUCUUAUUAAAGCGGAUUUGAG
rnacentral:lncRNA from 1 species